GAUGAACGCUAGCGGCAGGCCUAAUACAUGCAAGUCGGACGGGAUCGGGGAGCUUGCUCCCCGUGAGAGUGGCGCACGGGUGCGUAACACGUAUGUAACCUACCUUUAUCAGGGGGAUAGCCUCUCGAAAGAGAGAUUAACACCGCAUAACAUCACAUGAUAGCAUUAUCGAGUGAUCAAAUAUUCAUAGGAUAAAGAUGGGCAUGCGGGACAUUAGCUAGUUGGCGGGGUAACGGCCCACCAAGGCGACGAUGUCUAGGGGAUCUGAGAGGAUGACCCCCCACACUGGUACUGAGACACGGACCAGACUCCUACGGGAGGCAGCAGUAAGGAAUAUUGGUCAAUGGACGCAAGUCUGAACCAGCCAUGCCGCGUGCAGGAGGACGGCCCUACGGGUUGUAAACUGCUUUUGUACCGGAAUAAACCCUUUUACGUGUAAGAGGCUGAAUGUACGGUAAGAAUAAGGAUCGGCUAACUCCGUGCCAGCAGCCGCCGUAAUAC
rnacentral:rRNA from 1 species